UACGUAGGGUGCGAGCGUUGUCCGGAAUUAUUGGGCGUAAAGAGCUUGUAGGCGGUUUGUCGCGUCUGCUGUGAAAAUCCGGGGCUCAACCCCGGACUUGCAGUGGGUACGGGCAGACUAGAGUGUGGUAGGGGAGACUGGAAUUCCUGGUGUAGCGGCGAAAUGCGCAGAUAUCAGGAAGAACACCCGUGGCGAAGGCGGCUCUCUGGGACGGUACUGACGCUGAGACGCGAAAGCGUGGGGAGCAAACAGG
rnacentral:rRNA from 1 species